rnacentral:rRNA from 1 species
GAUGAACGCUGGCGGCGUGCCUAAUACAUGCCAGUCGAGCGAACGGACGAGAAGCUUGCUUCUCUGAUGUUAGCGGCGGACGGGUGAGUAACACGUGGAUAACCUGCCUAUAAGACUGGGAUAACUUCGGGAAACCGGAGCUAAUACCGGAUAAUAUUUUGAACCGCAUGGUUCAAAAGUGAAAGACGGUCUUGCUGUCACUUAUAGAUGGAUCCGCGCUGCAUUAGCUAGUUGGUAAGGUAACGGCUUACCAAGGCAACGAUGCAUAGCCGACCUGAGAGGGUGAUCGGCCACACUGGAACUGAGACACGGUCCAGACUCCUACGGGAGGCAGCAGUAGGGAAUCUUCCGCAAUGGGCGAAAGCCUGACGGAGCAACGCCGCGUGAGUGAUGAAGGUCUUCGGAUCGUAAAACUCUGUUAUUAGGGAAGAACAUAUGUGUAAGUAACUGUGCACAUCUUGACGGUACCUAAUCAGAAAGCCACGGCUAACUACGUG